UAUCACUAAGCGGAGGAAAAGAAACUAACCAGGAUUCCCCUAGUAACGGCGAGUGAAGAGGGAAAAGCCCAGCACCGAAGCCUGUGGUUAUUUGACUACUAGGCAAUGUGGUGUUUAGGCCGAUUCGUGGGAUUGCCGCUCCACUCGAAGUCCAGCAUUGAGUAUGGUCACUGGAUUUGGCCCAGAGAGGGUGAUAGGCCCGUACGGGUGGAGUUUCAGACAUGUAAGGCAGUUCACCAGGUCGACCUUCGAGUCGGGUUGUUUGAGAAUGCAGCCCAAAGUGGGUGGUAAACUCCAUCCAAGGCUAAAUACAAGCACGAGUCCGAUAGCAAACAAGUACCGUGAGGGAAAGUUGAAAAGUACUUUGAAGAGAGAGUAAACAGUACGUGAAACCGCAUGCAGGUAAACGGGUGGCGUCAAGCUGCAAUCCUGGAGAAUUCAGCCGGCUAGUGUGUCGUGAAUGCGCCUGUGCAUCAUCAGUCGGUGUAAGAUGUGAUAGUCUACCGGGCAACGGUAGGCCGGGCCGCAAGGUUCGGUUAUGUGUACCGGGUGGAAGCCGGAGCAUGCUAUUCAUCUGUUGGACUGGCUAGCCGGUGCACUUUCUCUAUGGUGAACACCACGAUCGGUGGAAUUGCCAGUCUGCUGUAGUCAAGUCGUAUUCGAUGGGUUCUUGCAAUUCAUUGGGUGCGAUCACAGGCAAUGUCAGUACACGGCGUAGAGGUGUCUCCACAUCUCUGCGUGUUAUCGGUUACUGCUUGUCAACGGGCCUGCCUAGUGGUUGUUGUAAUCGCCGCUGGGUGGCUUGGUGGACUACAGUGGUAAGAAUAACUGUGCAAGGCACCGGGGAUGUCGGCCUCAAUUGCACUUUGCAUACACAUUACAAGUGGUGUGGGGUGCCAUCGCUGCUUGCUUACUGUUGAGUCUGAUUGUCGUGUCGCCUGCACAAAGUAGGUCCGGCAGUGGCUUGAUGUAAGGUGGGUAGUUGGUGGUGCUUCGCGUGCAGAGUGUGGUGGGCCAAGUAAUCAGUGGUGCAGUGGUAGACGAGCUACCCGACCCGUCUUGAAACACGGACCAAGGAGUUCAACAUGUAUGCGAGUCAAUGGGUCCUACGAAACCCAAAGGCGCAGUGAAAGUAAAGCUUCGACUUGUUCUCGGAGUGAGGUGAGAUCCUGCCGUUACUCGCAUCAGCCUAUCAGGCUAAGAGCGGUGGGCGCAUCACCGGCCCGUCCCAUGAUGUGGCCGCUGGCUUGCCAGUGCGUCAUCGGGGCGGAGCAUGAGCAUACACGUUGAGACCCGAAAGAUGGUGAACUAUGCUUGCGUAGGUUGAAGCCAGAGGAAACUCUGGUGGAAGACCGUAGCGAUUCUGACGUGCAAAUCGAUCGUCAAACGUGAGUAUAGGGGCGAAAGACUAAUCGAACCAUCUAGUAGCUGGUUCCCUC
rnacentral:rRNA from 1 species